rnacentral:rRNA from 1 species
UGGGGAAUAUUGGACAAUGGGCGAAAGCCUGAUCCAGCAAUGCCGCGUGAGUGAUGAAGGCCUUAGGGUUGUAAAGCUCUUUUACCAGGGAUGAUAAUGACAGUACCUGGAGAAUAAGCUCCGGCUAACUCCGUGCCAGCAGCCGCGGUAAUACGGAGGGAGCUAGCGUUGUUCGGAAUUACUGGGCGUAAAGCGCGCGUAGGCGGCGUAUCAAGUCAGGGGUGAAAUCCCGGGGCUCAACCCCGGAACUGCCUCCAAUACUGCCAGUCUCGAGGUCGAGAGAGGUGAGUGGAAUUCCGAGUGUAGAGGUGAAAUUCGUAGAUAUUCGGAGGAACACCAGUGGCGAAGGCGGCUCACUGGCUCGAACCUGACGCUGAGGUGCGAAAGCGUGGGGAGCAAACAGGAUUAGAUACCCCCGUAGUCC